UCGCUGUGGUCGCGCAACGCGCGCGCCGGGCUGGAGCUGCGCGCGGGCGGCGCGGCGCACGUGUCGCUGGCGCUGCGGACGGCGUGGGGCCGCGCGCGCGCCGUCGCCGCCGCCGCCGCCGAGCCGCGCCUGCGCAUCGCCGCCGACCUCGACUUCUACGACGCCGUCGCGCUCUGCGUCCGCGUCAAGCUCGACGACUACGACCUGAGGAAGGAGUGCCACCUCGAGUCGGUGCAAGGCGACCGCUCGCUGCGCGUGUCCCGCUGGCGCAACGAGACGGCGCCGCAGCCCGGCCGCACGCUGUCGCUGGAGCGCGCCGCCGACGCCGCCUGCCGCGCGCUCGCCGCCAACGACUAGCGUCCAGGGGCCCCGCCUCGCUGGCCCCGCGCCCCGCACUCAAGCCAAAGCUCCGACGCCAAACCGAAGGCUCCUCACGCAGGAGCCGGACUCGCGCCGCCAUUACAGUUAGUUCAUAUGUGGACCCAAGUGCUGUGACUGUCACUUUGAUGCACAUAUUAUAUUGGUGAUGUUAUGUAAAAAAAAUAUAAAUCAUAUUUUUAUGGUAUAAAUAGACAGCGAUUGCUUGAUUAAACGAAAAGGGUUGAUUCCACUGCUCAACCGGAACUACUUAUUCUAUAGGACCAAUAUCAAAUUAUUAAACAAAAACAACCCUAUACUUCAAUGACCGAUUGCUGAUGAAGUAUGAAAAGGUAUUUAUCCUCGGAUUUCGGUCUCUUAUAGAAAGUCUAAAUCAAAAUUAAAAAUAUUUGUUCAAUGUGGCACUUAUGAAAGUCAAAAUAUAGUAAAUAAUAAAAAAAGAAAAGGUAGUCCUUAUGGGGAAAGGUAGUCCACUUAACAUGUCUCCUUAUCUUUUGAGCCCUACCAGCGCUUCGACACGAACAUUGGCAAGUGCUGAGAAGAAACGCUGGAACAAAUUCAGUCACUUGUUGCAUUUCAGCAAUAGAAUUAACCCUCUUCCUUUAAUUAAUUGUAAAAAUGAUAUUGUAUAUUGUAUAGUUUUGUCAUAAGGAAUUAUUUGACGAAUCAAUUAUAUUUUAAAAUAAUUAAGAUUUUUUUAUCAUCAUCAUCAACAGCCCUUUACAGUCCACUGCUGGACUAUGAGCCUCCUCCACUAUAGUGGAAUAAGAUUUUUUUAUAUUUGAUAAUAAUUUAUUGAAUCUGAUGAAUAUUCAAUCAUAAUAUGACUAUUUUUGAAGUUUUUAUUAGUAAUAAAGAUAAGUUUUUAAUUAACAUAA